CCGAGUUUCCAAAACUCCCAAACCCAUGUGAAUUUACCUUUACGUUCCCUCGGCGGCGUCUUCUCCCCUCGGGGGGGAUUCCCGCCAGAGGACCAAACCAAACACCGAAACGUUUGAAGAAUGUCUAGCGGACUCUGUUCCGCCUAAAUAUUUAAA
rnacentral:misc_RNA from 1 species